GUGUCUGGCAUGCACCAGCAUUUUGCAUUGAGAGGUUUAAAUAUAAAAGAUGUUUUCUGAAGUAAACCAUAAAUAAACCUUGGACAGAAAUAUAGGAUUACAACAGCUCAAAUUUUGGUAUCCAAAUCAAUGGAAGGAAUUGUUGUUCUAUAUGAUUAUUUUGACAGGACAAGUACAGAUCCCCAAGAGAAAUCACAAAUUAAGCCUUUGGGAACCAUUAGUGGAAACUAUCCUUAUGGAAUCUGAUGUUACAGUGAGUCUGACAGCAUGUACAGCAGUUAACCAGCUCCAUGGCUUUUCUUUCAGAAAUGUCCUUCCUUAUGCAAAGGACUGAUUGAAAUAUCAGCUCCAGGAAGCCUUCCCUGUUUCCCAGACAAAAGUAAUCAUCCACAUCUGCAAAUCUUGGCAGUGCUACUGCUGUUGGAAGAGUGCUUUGGUAUGCCUGGAGUUGCAGUCUCUUCACCUACCCUCUCUGAGUAAACAAGCUGAAAUAAAUAGGACGUUAAGAGUUUUAUCAACUCCUUUGCUCCCAGAAAGUGUAAUUUCAUCACAGAAGAAACAAAUAGAAAGAAGGAAAUGGCAUCAGGCAAGUCUGAUCUAGAAAAAUAUGAAAUUCCGAAGAGCAUGAAGACUGAGUCAUACAUUAUGUAGGGGGAAAUAAUGAAGGCUGGUUGAAAUCAGGCAGCAUGAAUCUUGAUGCUUUAGGAAAAUCAGGUAAAACAAAGAAUGCGACCAGAGAUUUCAGAAGAGCAUGUGACUGAGUGACCAAAAACUAUCCAAACUGACCAUGCCAAGCACAAACGUGAUAGUGCUUUUCACUGUAAGUUUGGCUGACCAAAAAGAAAUUACAUUUAGCUAAGUUUGCGAGACCAGGAAGCAAGCAAUUGCAUAACUGAAUGUGUACCUCCAAUCUUAGUUCAAUUUCAUUUUGAUUAGUCACAGAAGAGUUUGAGAAUAGGCACAAGAAUUUUCUGGCAUAAAUUUCAGAAGCUUUAAAAUAUGCAUGCAUCACUUAGACACAAAAGUGAAAUUAGUCUUCAACUGUCUGGAUUUUAUAUAGUCUGUAUCUUAUUUACUUCUUUGGCAGUAUAGAUACAAAUACAGUGUGUUUUCCUAUAAAUAACCAAACUGUGUUAUGCAUUCUAUAUUCUUCAAGUUUUUAGUCUCUGGAUCAUGAAAUCAAGGACAUAUUUCAGAUUCAGCCCCCUGAAGCUAGACCAGAUUACCUGCAGACAGAAUCUUUUUCAGAAAGCCAGCAGCAGACAGGAUGCUGAGCUGUAUCCUGGCUUCAACACAGCAUUGAGAUACUUAAGGCGACGUCAACACAGCAUGCAUUCCAUCCAUGCAGGGAAUGUGAUGCUAUAGCAUUGAAUUUCACUUAAAAAAGACCAACAGGACUACUUGCCUCCCCCCUCCCCGUGCAUAUUUUAUUUAUUGGUACCUAGAUUGGGACCCAAUUUUUAGAUAAACAUUAUAAUGAAGAAACAAUAUGGAUGGGUUGCAUCACCUGUCAAAGAUGUGAAAAACAACAAAUGUAUUUCUUCAUUUAAAAAUUCUUAUCAACAAGAAAAUUUCUAAACUACAAAAGACCAAUAUAGCCUGUUCAAUGAUGUUGUUUAGAAGUGAAUGUACACAUUUAACAAUCUAUAAUUUGGUUUAGAGUUAGCUACUCCUUAGCUGAAGCUCACAGUGUUAUAAGCAACUUAUAAAAUAUUAAGAUGACUUGAACAAAGCACAGAUUUGCUUUAGAAUUUGAAACUUACCCCAUUCUGGUAAUGGCUUGUGAUGUUUGUAUGUCUCAACUGGUAUAACGACAGCCACACAGAUCAUUAAGAAACUCUGAACAAUUUCAUUGUAUUCAAGGGAAAAUUUUCACUUUAAAAAAUGCAAUGGCAGCUAUCAAAAUACUAAAACUUUCUAUCAAUAUAGGCCUUUUAUAGCCUAUAGAUGCCCUGUGGUUGCUUCGUCUCACUGUUCCAAAAAAAUAAUGACAAUAAGUUUGAGAAAAUCAAUUAAUUUCAGAAAUAGAGAUUGGUUUCAUCAGCACCAAGGAGGUGGAGCAGGAGCUUCUCCACUGGAAGCUAAGCACCUACUUAGAGGAUCGGGAGACCAGAAUGCUUGGAGGACAGUGCUCUGAAGAGAGGUCUGUGGAAGCACAGCCAAGAGCAAAGGAUUGCAGAGGCCAAAGGAAGGGAAGACACUGCCAUUCCAGGAAGGAGUGGAGUCCCGGACACUGGAAGGGAGAUGAGAGAAAUAAACUGUAGGUGGGUUUGCCUCAGAGGAGGCAACAAGACUAUGAUUAUAAAGCCAUAGUGAUUAGAGAAGGCCCAAGGCAAACUUUCUCUGUCUUGGGUUGCUAUCAACCCUACCGCCUUGCUUUACCCCAGAGUACACAUGGUUAAGAGAAGGAGAAACUUUGCCCUUCAGGCUCUCCUUUUCUUCAGACCCCUCUUGGAAAUGUUUUGUACCUCUCUGAAGUAAAAUUCUUGAAUUGACUCUAUCUACCUGGAACCUACGUAUUUGUGCCUCGCGACUCUGAGUGAUCCAUCUGUGUCUGUAACAUCUCCACUAUCCAAGUUUGAACGUCUUUACUAUCAAAAAUAGCUUUUUCCAACUUCAGUCUUUUGUGACUGAAACUGCUGCAGAUUUGAUUAAAAGGGAUGUCAGUUGCUUCUCUGAAAGCACCCUCUCUACACCCUCGGGACAUCUCUAUCUCAACAUCUCCUUCUCAAAGUAUGCGACAGCAUCUCCUUGACUACAGAAAAGUGUGUUGCUAUGAAGCAAUUUUCCAUGCUCAUUCCAUGAUAAUAGCACCAUCAACACAAACAGUUGUAUGGUAUAAUUGAUUCCUAUCUGUGAUUAGCUAGGGGAUCUUUGUUAAAACCCAGCAGA